GGGGGUGUGGCUCAGUGGUAGAACAUCUGCCUGGCAAACAGAAGGCCCCAGGUUCAAUUCCUGUCAUCUCUA